GACAGCCUUCAUUGAUGAUCAGCUUCUGACUUUCGUUCUUCUGAAUUUGCUGAAGCCAGAUGCCGUUCCUGAGAAGGGGA
rnacentral:snoRNA from 1 species